UCUUCAACAUCUCACAGCCUAAGGAAUGAACUCCCUUGCUCAUAACAGUGGGUUCAGACCUUACACCAAACUGGAGGGCCUGCAUUUGAUCCCUGUCAGCACGUGGUGGAAGGAGAGAACUGACUACCACAGGUUGUCCUCUGACCUCCACACUCUUGCUGCCCCCCACAGCCCCAAGUUGUGGGAGACUGAGAAGAACGGAGGAUGAUGUGGAUCCCAGGUUCAUGUGGGAGAUGUUCUUCUCAGACCUCUGCCUUCAGUUUUCCAGCGCUCAUAUGCAGCAUGUCCUGCCAACUCUCUCCUGCCAUCAUGCUACCAUGCCUUUCCAGCCUGUUGCUGUCCUCUUUGUGGAGGACUCCAUCCCUCUGGAACUGUAAGCUAAAACAAAUCUCUUAUCUAAGUUUUUUUGUAUAUAUUAUUAUUACAACAGGAAAUGAAACUAGACCACCUCCAUAACAUGUGAUGUUUUU